GUGGCUGUAGCUCAGCUGGUUAGAGUCCUCGGUUGUGAUCCGAGUUGUCGUGGGUUCGAGUCCCAUCAGCCACC
rnacentral:tRNA from 1 species